UUGCAAUGAUGUGACUUUUAUCCCUGAAUCCAACCUUGAAGUGCAAACUAAAUGAGCUUUUUAACCCUGAGCAGU